rnacentral:rRNA from 1 species
CCUACGGGAGGCAGCAGUGAGGAAUAUUGGUCAAUGGGCUUGCGCCUGAACCAGCCAAGUCGCGUGAGGGAAGACUGCCCUAUGGGUUGUAAACCUCUUUUGUCAGGGAGCAACGCCGGCUACGUGUAGCCGGACUGAGAGUACCUGAAGAAAAGGCAUCGGCUAACUCCGUGCCAGCAGCCGCGGUAAUACGGAGGUUGCGAGCGUUAUCCGGAUUUAUUGGGUUUAAAGGGUGCGUAGGCGGAAUGCCAAGUCAGCGGUAAAAUCGCGGGGCUCAACCUCGCUCCGCGGUUGAAACUGGGGUUUUUGUGUGGGAGCGAAGUAUGUGCGAUGCGUGGGGUAGAGGGGAAAUGCAUAGAUAUCACGCAGAACUCUGA